UAAGGUUGCAGCUUAUUGGUACAAUCUCUAUCUAAUUUAACAAGCACAGACAAACAUCGGUAAUCCAUAAAUGGUACCCGUAAGCAUCCUGGAGAAAAGACAAGGACAAUUUUGUCAAUAUAAUCCAAAGCUUUUGAAAAUCAUGAAAGGCAUCUGAGAUACAUGAGAGGUUAGUGAAGCAACAAAUGUAAAUCAUAAGAUUUAGAGGCACAGAAAGUGCUGAAACAACAAUAUGCAGUAGAGACCCAUGGAACACAGUUUAGUUUGCUUUAUGAGAAGAAGCAACUCACAUAAUAUGAUAGAAGAAAGAAAUGUAGUGGACCAGUAAUAUACAGAACCUACCCCAGUGACACUAGCACAUAGCAUGUAAUCCACACCAGAAUCUUAGAAACAAAGUGACCAAACAUAACAAGUUAAAUUGAUUUGACCGAGGGACACAAAUGGCAUAACAAACAAACAGCAUGACAAGCCUAAAUUACAAUAGUAUAACCACAAUGAAUCAAGAAAACAACAAAGAUAAAAAAUGAAAACAACAAGACACAACAAUAACUAAGGCGACACUUAUCCAUAAAAUUGAGAUGGUCUCUGUUAAUGCAAUAAGGAGCAAUCCUUCAGCAACAUCUAUGCAUGGAAGAGGUCCAAAAGACAGA